rnacentral:rRNA from 1 species
CAACCCGAUGCAAACUGCGAAUACCGGAGAAUGUUAUCACGGGAGACACACGGCGGGUGCUAACGUCCGUCGUGAAGAGGGAAACAACCCAGACCGCCAGCUAAGGUCCCAAAGUCAUGGUUAAGUGGGAAACGAUGUGGGAAGGCCCAGACAGCCAGGAUGUUGGCUUAGAAGCAGCCAUCAUUUAAAGAAAGCGUAAUAGCUCACUGGUCGAGUCGGCCUGCGCGGAAGAUGUAACGGGGCUAAACCAUGCACCGAAGCUGCGGCAGCGACACUCAGGUGUUGUUGGGUAGGGGAGCGUUCUGUAAGCCUGCGAAGGUGGCCUGUGAGGGUUGCUGGAGGUAUCAGAAGUGCGAAUGCUGACAUAAGUAACGAUAAAGCGGGUGAAAAGCCCGCUCGCCGGAAGACCAAGGGUUCCUGUCCAACGUUAAUCGGGGCAGGGUGAGUCGACCCCUAAGGCGAGGCCGAAAGGCGUAGUCGAUGGGAAACGGGUUAAUAUUCCCGUACUUGGUGUUACUGCGAAGGGGGGACGGAGAAGGCUAUGUUGGCCGGGCGACGGUUGUCCCGGUUUAAGCGUGUAGGUGUGUGUUCCAGGUAAAUCCGGUUCACUUUAACACUGAGGCGUGAUGACGAGGCACUACGGUGCUGAAGCAACAAAUGCCCUGCUUCCAGGAAAAGCCUCUAAGCAUCAGGUAACAUCAAAUCGUACCCCAAACCGACACAGGUGGUCAGGUAGAGAAUACCAAGGCGCUUGAGAGAACUCGGGUGAAGGAACUAGGCAAAAUGGUGCCGUAACUUCGGGAGAAGGCACGCUGACACGUAGGUGAAGUGAUUUACUCAUGGAGCUGAAGUCAGUCGAAGAUACCAGCUGGCUGCAACUGUUUAUUAAAAACACAGCACUGUGCAAACACGAAAGUGGACGUAUACGGUGUGACGCCUGCCCGGUGCCGGAAGGUUAAUUGAUGGGGUCAGCGCAAGCGAAGCUCCUGAUCGAAGCCCCGGUAAACGGCGGCCGUAACUAUAACGGUCCUAAGGUAGCGAAAUUCCUUGUCGGGUAAGUUCCGACCUGCACGAAUGGCGUAAUGAUGGCCAGGCUGUCUCCACCCGAGACUCAGUGAAAUUGAACUCGCUGUGAAGAUGCAGUGUACCCGCGGCAAGACGGAAAGACCCCGUGAACCUUUACUAUAGCUUGACACUGAACAUUGAGCCUUGAUGUGUAGGAUAGGUGGGAGGCUUUGAAGUGUGGACGCCAGUCUGCAUGGAGCCGGCCUUGAAAUACCACCCUUUAAUGUUUGAUGUUCUAACGUGGACCCGUGAUCCGGGUUGCGGACAGUGUCUGGUGGGUAGUUUGACUGGGGCGGUCUCCUCCUAAAGAGUAACGGAGGAGCACGAAGGUUGGCUAAUCCUGGUCGGACAUCAGGAGGUUAGUGCAAUGGCAUAAGCCAGCUUGACUGCGAGCGUGACGGCGCGAGCAGGUGCGAAAGCAGGUCAUAGUGAUCCGGUGGUUCUGAAUGGAAGGGCCAUCGCUCAACGGAUAAAAGGUACUCCGGGGAUAACAGGCUGAUACCGCCCAAGAGUUCAUAUCGACGGCGGUGUUUGGCACCUCGAUGUCGGCUCAUCACAUCCUGGGGCUGAAGUAGGUCCCAAGGGUAUGGCUGUUCGCCAUUUAAAGUGGUACGCGAGCUGGGUUUAGAACGUCGUGAGACAGUUCGGUCCCUAUCUGCCGUGGGCGCUGGAGAACUGAGGGGGGCUGCUCCUAGUACGAGAGGACCGGAGUGGACGCAUCACUGGUGUUCGGGUUGUCAUGCCAAUGGCACUGCCCGGUAGCUAAAUGCGGAAGAGAUAAGUGCUGAAAGCAUCUAAGCACGAAACUUGCCCCGAGAUGAGUUCUCCCUGAGACUUUAGGUCUCCUGAAGGAACGUUGAAGACGACGACGUUGAUAGGCCGGGUGUGUAAGCGCAGCGAUGCGUUGAGCUAACCGGUACUAAUGAACCGUGAGGCUUAACCUU